CUAGAUUUGCAGUCUCCUCCACAAAACUUCUCCCACUGUCAUGAUGCCCAUUUUUCACUCCAGGCUCUGCUGCUCUGUACUUAGGGUCAACUUAUAAAUGAUAAGAAGAGGAAAGCCUGCAGAGAGGGUGACAGCAAUGGUGGAGAUGUAACUUAAUCUCAGGCCAAAUGUCUAUCAAGAGCUUUGGACUUACAGAUGAAGCCAUUUUCUAGAAAUGUCACCUCAUCUAUUCUCAAACUCAAAAAUAUUUAGUCAACACAUAUUUG
ensembl:lncRNA